GAUGAAGAACGCAGCGAAAUGCGAUAAGUAAUGUGAAUUGCAGAAUUCAGUGAAUCAUCGAAUCUUUGAACGCACAUUGCGCCUCUCGGUAUUCCGGGAGGCACGCCUGUUCGAGCGCCAUUACACCGUCCAAGCUGCGGCUUGAUGUUGGGCGAGGCUGCGGUCCGAGAGGACGGGCGGCGCGCCUGGAAGGUAUGGGCGGCGGAGGCCAGACCGCGAGCGUAGCAAGACGAGAGUCACCCGCUCGGACGGAUCUGGCGGACGCGUGUCGAGAAGUCGAGGAUGCGAGGGCGACCGCGCAAAGACGACGAAACACACACAAGUUUGGCCUCGGAUCAGGCGGGGAUACCCGCUGAACUUAAGCAUAUCAAUAAGCGGAGGA
rnacentral:misc_RNA from 1 species